rnacentral:rRNA from 1 species
CCUACGGGUGGCAGCAGUGAGGAAUAUUGGUCAAUGGACGAGAGUCUGAACCAGCCAAGUAGCGUGAAGGAUGACUGCCCUAUGGGUUGUAAACUUCUUUUAUAUGGGAAUAAAACGUUCCACGUGUGGGAUUUUGUAUGUACCAUAUGAAUAAGGAUCGGCUAACUGCGUGCCAGCAGCCGCGGUAAUACGGAGGAUCCGAGCGUUAUCCGGAUUUAUUGGGUUUAAAGGGAGCGUAGGUGGAUUGUUAAGUCAGUUGUGAAAGUUUGCGGCUCAACCGUAAAAUUGCAGUUGAAACUGGCAGUCUUGAGUACAGUAGAGGUGGGCGGAAUUCGUGGUGUAGCGGUGAAAUGCUUAGAUAUCACGAAGAACUCCGAUUGCGAAGGCAUUUCACUGGACUGCAACUGACGCUGAGGAGCGAAAGCGUGGGUAGCAAACAGGAUUAGAUACCCUUGUAGUC